UUCUUCUUCCUUAACUCAUUCAAUUCUCUUUUAUUCUGAACAGAACUCUUUUCUCUCUCUCUCUCUGCUCUCUACCGCCCCUCUCUGUCCCUCUCUUUCCCGGCGAGCGUCGCCGGCCUUUACGGCCUCCGGCGCGGCGAGGUCGGCCUCUUCUCUUCCCCCUUUUUUUCCUUCCAUUUCUUCUCCUCUUUCUCCUGAAUUUAGAAUAGAUCUAGGGUUUCUAAAUUUCCUGAAGUUUGUUCCUCCGGUGAACUCCGCCACUGCCGCCGCCGUGCUCGUCGCGCCGCCACCCCCUCUGAUUCAGGUAAGCCUCCCCAUCUCUCUUUCUCCUUUUCUUUCUUCCUUUCUCUGCUCCUCUAUCUCGAUCUCUCUCUCUUUUCUGGUCAGGCCGCGGCGGCCGCUGCGAGCCGCGACAGCGCAUGCAGCGCCGGUGGUCGCCGCCGCCCUGCACUCCCCUCUCUCCCUCCAACUCGUUCUAUCCGUCUCUUUCUAUUUCACUCUCUAUCUCCCUGGUUUAAUCUCCCUCUCUAUUUCUCUCUCUGCUGUCAGUAGCCACCACGGCCGCCGUGGCGCCGGCGACCACCGCUGCCAGCCGUGCCUCCGCUGCGGUGGCUCGCGGCUGCUGCUGCUACUGCUAUUUCCCCCCUUCUCCUUCUUCCUUCCAUCUUCUCUAUUUCCCAAUUCAAAAUCUCAUUCCAGCAAACUUCCAAUCUAAUUUCUAUUUCAGUUUUAACAUCACAAACUAAUAAAUCUCAAACUAUUUUCUGUUCCAGGAAUCGGUGAUUCAAGAUGGUUUGAGAUGGUUUCAUCGGCAGUUCAUCU
rnacentral:lncRNA from 1 species